CCUACGGGAGGCAGCAGUGAGGAAUAUUGGUCAAUGGCCGGAAGGCUGAACCAGCCAUGCCGCGUGAAGGUCAGUGCCCUAUGGGCGUUAAACUUCUUUUGUGCGGGAGCAAUAAUGGUCACGUGUGGCCAGACGAGAGUACCGUACGAAUAAGCAUCGGCUAACUCCGUGCCAGCAGCCGCGGUAAUACGGGGGAUGCAAGCGUUAUCCGGAUUUAUUGGGUUUAAAGGGUGCGUAGGCUGGGAGGUAAGUCAGCGGUGAAAUGCCCCCGCUCAACGGGGUGAAGUGCCAUUGAUACUGGCUGGCUGGAAUGCGGAUGCCGUGGGAGGAAUGUGUGGUGUAGCGGUGAAAUGCAUAGAUAUCACACAGAACACCGAUUGCGAAGGCAUCUCACGAAUCCGCGAUUGACGCUGAUGCACGAAAGCGUGGGUAUCAAACAGGAUUAGAUACCCCGGUAGUC
rnacentral:rRNA from 1 species